UACGGAGGGUGCGAGCGUUAAUCGGAAUUACUGGGCGUAAAGGGCGCGUAGGCGGCUGAUCAAGUCAGGUGUGAAAGCCCACGGCUUAACCGUGUGAAGUGCAUCUGAAACUGGUCGGCUUGAGUAUCGGAGAGGAAAGUGGAAUUCCCGGUGUAGAGGUGAAAUUCGUAGAUAUGCGAAGGAACACCAGAGGCGAAGGCGCCUUCCUGGGCAAGUAUUGACGCUGAGGCGCGAAAGCGUGGGGAUCAAACAGGAUUAGAAACCCUAGUAGU
rnacentral:rRNA from 1 species